ACGUAGGGUGCAAGCGUUGUCCGGAAUUAUUGGGCGUAAAGAGCUCGUAGGCGGUUUGUCGCGUCUGCUGUGAAAAUCCGAGGCUCAACCUCGGACCUGCAGUGGGUACGGGCAAACUAGAGUGCGGUAGGGGAGAAGGGAAUUCCUGGUGUAGCGGUGGAAUGCGCAGAUAUCAGGAGGAACACCGAUGGCGAAGGCACUUCUCUGGGCCGUAACUGACGCUGAGGAGCGAAAGCGUGGGGAGCGAACAGGAUUAGAUACCCUGGUAGUCCACGCCGUAAACGGUGGGUGCUAGUUGUGGGCCACAUUCCACGUGGUCCGUGACGCAGCUAACGCAUUAAGCACCCCGCCUGGGGAGUACGGUCGCAAGACUA
rnacentral:rRNA from 1 species